rnacentral:rRNA from 1 species
UACGUAGGGUGCGAGCGUUGUCCGGAAUUAUUGGGCGUAAAGAGCUCGUAGGCGGCUUGUCACGUCGGUUGUGAAAGCCCGGGGCUUAACCCCGGGUCUGCAGUCGAUACGGGCAGGCUAGAGUUCGGUAGGGGAGAUCGGAAUUCCUGGUGUAGCGGUGAAAUGCGCAGAUAUCAGGAGGAACACCGGUGGCGAAGGCGGUUCUCUGGGCAUUACCUGACGCUGAGGAGCGAAAGCAUGGGGAGCGAACAGG